AUACGUAGGGGGCGAGCGUUGUCCGGAAUGAUUGGGCGUAAAGGGCGCGUAGGCGGCCCGGUAAGUCUGGAGUGAAAGUCCUGUUUUUAAGAUGGGAAUUGCUUUGGAUACUGUCGGGCUUGAGUGCAGGAGAGGUAAGUGGAAUUCCCAGUGUAGCGGUGAAAUGCGUAGAGAUUGGGAGGAACACCAGUGGCGAAGGCGACUUACUGGACUGUAACUGACGCUGAGGCGCGAAAGUGUGGGGAGCAAACAGGAUUGGAUACCCUGGUAGUCCACACUGUAAACGAUGAAUGCUAGGUGUAGGGGGUAUCGACCCUUCUGUGCCGCAGUCAACACAAUAAGCAUUCCGCCUGGGGAGUACGGCCGCAAGGUUGAAACUCAAAUGAAUUGACGGGG
rnacentral:rRNA from 1 species